GGCGGACGGGUGAGUAACGCGUGGGUAACCUGCCUUACACAGGGGGAUAACACUUAGAAAUAGGUGCUAAUACCGCAUAAGCGCACGAAGCCGCAUGGAUUUGUGUGAAAAACUCCGGUGGUGUAAGAUGGACCCGCGUCUGAUUAGCUUGUUGGCGGGGUAACGGCCCACCAAGGCGACGAUCAGUAGCCGGCCUGAGAGGGUGGACGGCCACAUUGGGACUGAGACACGGCCCAAACUCCUACGGGAGGCAGCAGUAGGGAAUCUUCCACAAUGGGCGAAAGCCUGAUGGAGCAACGCCGCGUGGGUGAAGAAGGUCUUCGGAUCGUAAAACCCUGUUGUUAGAGAAGAAAGUGCGUGAGAGUAACUGUUCACGUUUCGACGGUAUCUAACCAGAAAGCCACGGCUAACUACGUGCCAGCAGCCGCGGUAAUACGUAGGUGGCAAGCGUUAUCCGGAUUUAUUGGGCGUAAAGGGAACGCAGGCGGUCUUUUAAGUCUGAUGUGAAAGCCUUCGGCUUAACCGGAGUAGUGCAUUGGAAACUGGCAGACUUGAGUUGGCGAGAAGUACGCGGAAUGCGCGGUGUAGCGGUGAAAUGCAUAGAUAUCGCGCAGAACUCCGAUUGCGAAGGCAGCGUACCGGCGCCAGACUGACGCUGAGGCACGAAAGCGUGGGGAUCGAACAGGAUUAGAUACCCUGGUAGUCC
rnacentral:rRNA from 1 species